rnacentral:lncRNA from 1 species
AUGGGCACAAAAAAAUUGCUGUCAAACGUACGGAACAGCCUGUCCAGUGGUAAAUAUAGAGGUCAGUGACAAUAACCCAUCGCUUGGAAUGUUUGGAACAACAUCAGCAUGAAGUGUACUUCUUUGGGGAUUGUUCAAAAGUCGAGUAAAUCUUAUCUAUAUAAUAUUAGUUUUAGGUUGUCAGAUUUCCUAACAACUGAUAAAUUUAGUUGACAGAUAAAAUUUAUUCAACUAUUGAAAAAUCCUUACAUACUAAAUCUCACUUAGGUUACGAGCUGCCUCUGCAACAACUACUCUUAAGAUCGUACAAAAAUAAGAAAUGAGGAAAUAUAACGUGUCACUGAGAGUGUAAUGUGGCUGGCUAUGAAGGCUGUUUGCAGCCAAGAACGCCAGUUUGUGGGCGUAUUGGCACACAGACGGGACACGCACUUGAGAAGAACAGUUGAAAUACAAGUCUCGGCAUUCGGAAACCUACAGCCCCAGCAGUUUUCAUAAUUAAAUCUAUGAAUCCUUCUGAAUCUCGACGUUGUCUUUCUGGGGUUAUGACCACCCAUGAUGGCAAUUGUGAGAUAUCUAAUAGAGG